CCGAACGCUGGCGGCGUGCUUAACACCUGCAAGUCGAACGGUGAAGGGAUCAGCUUGCUGGUUCUGGAUGAGUGGCGAACGGGUGAGUAACACGUGAGUAACCUGCCCCCUUCUUCUGGAUAACCGCAUGAAAGUGUGGCUAAUACGGGAUAUUCUGCGCCUGCUGCAUGGUGGGUGUGGGAAAGAUAUUGUUUCGGUGGGGGAUGGGCUCGCGGCCUAUCAGCUUGUUGGUGGGGUGAUGGCCUACCAAGGCGGUGACGGGUAGCCGGCCUGAGAGGGUGGACGGUCACACUGGGACUGAGACACGGCCCAGACUCCUACGGGAGGCAGCAGUGGGGAAUAUUGCACAAUGGGCGCAAGCCUGAUGCAGCGACGCCGCGUGAGGGAUGGAGGCCUUCGGGUUGUGAACCUCUUUCGCCAGUGAAGCAGGCCUGUCCCUUGUGGGUGGGUUGACGGUAGCUGGAUAAGAAGCGCCGGCUAACUACGUG
rnacentral:rRNA from 1 species